ACCAGUUACUGGUCGCAUUUCUGCGUGGUCUGUUAGUUGAGCUCUGAGGGUCGGUGCCGGUAGGGUGAGCGGUGGUUUGUAAAUUGAAGAGUGAUCAGUGCAUGGAUCGUGACACGCUGUCGCGGGUGCUGCCCAAAGGUGUAGUGUUUAAAACCAAUGAUCAAAGGUAUGUCCGAGCCUUCGACAAGGCAGCCCGGACCAGCCAGCACAACUGAGCAAAGAUAAGGGCGGAAUACUCCACUUCUGGUUUGGAUUGGCCGGCAACUUGGGUCUUGACGAGCCCCCGUUGAGAGUCUGCACACCGGCUGCCAGCGACAUCGGAGCCAUCGCGCCCGGUCUUCCAGCUGUCUGUGUCACGUCCUGUCACUGUCCACAACCCUGCUGUCGCCGCCGCUGCUGCUGCUGCUGCUGCUGCUUCCCUCGACUUCACACGGCUUCGUUGCCGAAAUGGCGGCUGGAGAUUUGGGCAACUUCA